rnacentral:rRNA from 1 species
UGGGGAAUAUUGGGCAAUGGACGCAAGUCUGACCCAGCAACGCCGCGUGAAGGAAGAAGGCUUUCGGGUUGUAAACUUCUUUUAAGGGGGAAGAGCAGAAGACGGUACCCCUUGAAUAAGCCACGGCUAACUACGUGCCAGCAGCCGCGGUAAUACGUAGGUGGCAGGCGUUGUCCGGAUUUACUGGGUGUAAAGGGCGUGUAGCCGGGCCGACAAGUCAGAUGUGAAAUCCACGGGCUUAACCCGUGAACUGCAUUUGAAACUGUUGGUCUUGAGUAUCGGAGAGGUAACCGGAAUUCCUAGUGUAGCGGUGAAAUGCGUAGAUAC